UCGGACGAACGCUGGCGGCGUGCUUAACACAUGCAAGUCGAACGGUGAAGCGGAGCUUGCUCUGCGGAUCAGUGGCGAACGGGUGAGUAACACGUGAGCAACCUACCCUUGACUCUGGGAUAACAGUUGGAAACAGCUGCUAAUACCGGAUAUGACCCUGGUGGACAUCCACUGGGGUGGAAAGCUCCGACGGUCAAGGAUGGGCUCGCGGCCUAUCAGCUUGUUGGUGAGGUAACGGCUCACCAAGGCGUCGACGGGUAGCCGGCCUGAGAGGGCGACCGGCCACACUGGGACUGAGAUACGGCCCAGACUCCUACGGGAGGCAGCAGUGGGGAAUAUUGCACAAUGGGCGAAAGCCUGAUGCCAGCAACGCCGCGUGCGGGAUGACGGCCUUCGGGUUGUAAACCGCUUUCAGCAGGGACGAAGGGUUUCUGACGGUACCUGCAGAAGAAGCACCGGCUAACUACGUGCCAGCCGCCGC
rnacentral:rRNA from 1 species